CCGGCUGAAAAUAUCGCGGUCGAACACACACGUGGUCGAAACGGCGUCAGUGAGAGUGACAGUGACAGUGACCGUCGUUUGUUCUAAUACUGUACAAAGUAGAGGGCAAUUAAGAAAUAAAAAAUUGUGGAAAUGCCUAAAUCCAAAUAGAUUCCCAUUCGCAAUAGAAACGUUUGUUACUGAUUUGUGUUUGGCAUGGAAAUUUUAAUAUGUAUAUAAUAUUCUAAGGCAAAAUUGAGUUCCAGGAAGCCAAAGCCAAUAAGUAUUGCACGCGAAAAAACAAAGUGAAUCACUAAAACAUGACAAUUCGAAGAUCUUUACACUGCAUGAACCACAUGAAUGGACUCUAUUCUUCUGUUUUGUUUUUUUAAUUAAUUCCAUACAUAUAUAUGUAUGUAUAUAUAUAUACAUAUGUACACAGACAUAUACAUAUGUUAAUUUAUACAAUACAUAAAUUCACUGGCAUUAUGUUUGUUACGUUCGUGCUGUGGCAUUGACUAAAACAGCGGUCAAUUCCUUUUUUUGGUUUGCUUCUGUUGUGUAUCCAUUGAAUUCGUACAAUGUAAAGUGUUUUGUAUUAAUUUGCGUUUAUUAAAAUUGAAAGAGGGCUCACAUUGUAAUGUUUGAGUUGAUUGACAAAGUUCAAAAUCGUGUUGAUGCCGGUUAAGGAACAUCUUUCAGCAAGACAAAAAAAAAGUUAUUUGAAAAAAAAACAUCAGCUGAUCACAGGCAAGCAAAAGGUUUUUUAAUAUAAGACCAAGGAGCAAAUACAACUUCCUAAAAACAAAAUGGAGCUGUUUGCUUAUAUAAUACCUUCAAUUUUCCAAUGGCUAUGCAUGUAUGGUACAUCUUCGGCCAAUCUCCUGUACGGGCUGCAUUCCGAUGAGCUCAAGUCGGGCACACUGAUAGUUCCGAAACGAGUCAAUGAAAACGGAGAAUUUCUCACCUACGAUUUGUCAUAUCGUCACGAUCAAAAUUAUCGGCACGAACAUAGUCGGAGGCGUCGCAACAUAGCUAAAAACUUCAAUAAAGUACAUUAUAAACUGGAUGUAGCUAAUGAAACGAUACAUCUUGAUUUAGAACCGCACAGUUAUUUUAUGGCUCCGAGUCUGGUAAUCGAGAGACACCGGCGAGAUAUCCGUACUCGUAAGACAACAAUAGGAAAUGCAGACUGUCACUUUCACGGAAAAGUGCGUGGACAUGAAGAGUCAAAUGUGGCCAUAUCGACCUGCGAAGGGUUGGUUGGCCAUAUAAAAACAAAAAAUCACGAGUACUAUAUUGAACCCUCGAAGAACGAUCGCGCUGACACAGUUAAGGGACAUCCGCACGUGCUAUUUCACAGAUCGUCAUUAAAACUGAAAAGAAAGAAUCGCAAAUCAAACCGCAAGCAUAGGGAUGAGUUGGUAAGCACUUGCGGCACUAAGGAACCAAAAAGAUAUUCUGGGACACGUCUGGAAUGGCAAGCGCAGGGCAAGGUUAAAAUACAAGGUGGUAGAAAAAUACGUCAAGGAAAUCCUCACCAUGGAAACCGUCGCCGACAUCAGCACCAUCUCUAUCCCUACAAGGAAUUGAAUUCAUUUGGAAGAACGCAAAAGAGACAACUGAAAAAAUAUCAACAGGAUAUCGACCAGCAGACAAAAUUUAAAUACGAAACUCACCUAAAGGAGGAAUUCAGACCCACCCACCACAUCAGUUCCGACUUGAGUUUACAAAGUGGUAGUGAAAUUUCAAGCCAUGUGAAGAGCAUACAUGACAAUGGCAAAAGUGUUAUGAGCAGAAAAAGCGACAGAAAACGCGCGAAACGUUCAAUUAGCAGCCCACGUCAUGUAGAGGCGUUGAUUGUUGCCGAUGCGACGAUGGUAGCAUUCCAUAGCAAACUGGAGACAUAUCUACUUACCAUAAUGAAUAUGGUGUCAGCACUCUACAAGGAUCCCAGCAUUGGUAAUUUAAUUGAAAUUGUUGUCGUCAAAAUGAUUCUUCUCGAUGAGCGCGAAGCACACCCGGAUCUUAAUCUGACACAAAAUGCGCAAAAAAAUUUGGAUACAUUUUGUAGGUGGCAGCACAAUCUUAAGAAGGACAAUGACAAAGAUCAUCAUGAUGUUGCAAUUCUUAUCACUCGUACAAACAUUUGCGGCAACAAUUGCAUGACACUUGGCUUAGCCAAUGUGGGUGGCAUGUGUAAGCCGAAACAGUCAUGCAGUGUUAACGAAGAUAACGGCAUUAUGCUGUCUCAUACGAUAGCGCACGAGUUGGGCCACAAUUUCGGAAUGUUUCACGAUACGGCGAAAAUCGGCUGUCAUCCUCGAAUAGGAUCCAUCGUUCACAUAAUGACGCCGACGUUUGGUGCCGAUACCUUACAAGUUUGCUGGUCGAAUUGCAGCCGAAAAUAUAUAACACAAUUUCUGGAUCAAGGUCUCGGCGAUUGCUUAGAUGAUGCGCCACCGACGAGAGAAAAAUACGCUUACCCAGCUUUGCCUCCAGGCGUACUUUUCGACGUCGAAACACAAUGUCGUUUGCAGUUCAACUUAACCGAGGCGGACAUCAACGCGUCCUCAUGCACUUCUAUGGAUGAAAUUUGUUCAACUUUAUGGUGUAGAGUAAAUGGCGAGUGUGUGACUAACAUGCGUCCAACGGCGCCAGGUACUAAUUGCGGCGUUGGAAAGGGUUGCCAGAAUGGAAAAUGUGUACCCAAUGUGGCAGCUUCCCCUGUCAAUGGUAGCUGGGGCGCUUGGUCUGAGUGGAGUGAGUGUUCCAGAACUUGUGGAGGGGGAGUGUCAACGCAAAAGCGUGAAUGUAAUAAUCCGGUUCCGGCGAACGGUGGACUUUUCUGCAUUGGUGAGAGAAAAAGAUAUAAAAUCUGUAACUUUCAAUCUUGCCCACCGAAUGAAGUUAGUUUUCGUGCGAAGCAAUGUUCCAAAUAUGACAAUGUUUGCUACCAAGGCGGUACCUACAAAUGGCUACCGUAUUUCGAUAAUAAGAACCCUUGCAAGCUGUUAUGCACAGAUUUUGACGAUACAAUUAUAGCCAAUUGGGGAGAAACGGUACAGGAUGGAACUAAUUGUGGUGUUGGAACCAAUAAUAUGUGCAUCGAUGGAAUUUGCAAGUCGGAUGUGACUGGGUUGUAGAUUCCGACAAGCAAGAGGAUAAGUGCGGAGUGUGUGGAGGCAAAGACGAUAAAUGCAAAUUUAUAAAAGAACAGUUUGAGGAAAGCCUAAAUGUUUCCGAUGGGUAUGUAGAGGUCGUAACUAUUCCGGCGAAAUCGAGGCAAAUCAUUAUUAAAGAAAU
rnacentral:misc_RNA from 1 species